rnacentral:rRNA from 1 species
UCUGGUGGGUAGUUUGACUGGGGCGGUCUCCUCCUAAAGAGUAACGGAGGAGCACGAAGGUUGGCUAAUCCUGGUCGGACAUCAGGAGGUUAGUGCAAUGGCAUAAGCCAGCUUGACUGCGAGCGUGACGGCGCGAGCAGGUGCGAAAGCAGGUCAUAGUGAUCCGGUGGUUCUGAAUGGAAGGGCCAUCGCUCAACGGAUAAAAGGUACUCCGGGGAUAACAGGCUGAUACCGCCCAAGAGUUCAUAUCGACGGCGGUGUUUGGCACCUCGAUGUCGGCUCAUCACAUCCUGGGGCUGAAGUAGGUCCCAAGGGUAUGGCUGUUCGCCAUUUAAAGUGGUACGCGAGCUGGGUUUAGAACGUCGUGAGACAGUUCGGUCCCUAUCUGCCGUGGGCGCUGGAGAACUGAGGGGGGCUGCUCCUAGUACGAGAGGACCGGAGUGGACGCAUCACUGGUGUUCGGGUUGUCAUGCCAAUGGCACUGCCCGGUAGCUAAAUGCGGAAGAGAUAAGUGCUGAAAGCAUCUAAGCACGAAACUUGCCCCGAGAUGAGUUCUCCCUGAGACUUAGAGUCUCCUGAAGGAACGUUGAAGACGACGACGUUGAUAGGCCGGGUGUGUAAGCGCAGCGAUGCGUUGAGCUAACCGGUACUAAUGAACCGUGAGGCUUAACCUUACAACGCCGAAG